GAAGAUUCUAUUUAACAAUAGGGAGAAUCUUUAGGAGGUUGUUACCUAACAAUCAGUUGAAGGAUGAUGGGAUUGUGAAUGUGGAUGCUAGUGAAGUAGAGAAGAAGUUGGAUCCCAGAUCUAUUUCAAAAACAGAAAUAAUUAACGCAAUUUAUUGUUGAAAUGUUUGUGGAGUAUAAGAAAAUGAGAAGAAUGUAGGACAGUGACUGAAACCUGCUUGACAUGCUUUCGAAAUUGUGAUGGGUGACAAACAUUGACUGCUGGCUGACCCAGGGAUGUUGGGAAAAACCUGAAAGGCUAAUGAAAAUCCCAGGAGACUCAGCUUAUUGAUGGACAAGGCCAGACUCAGUGUUUGCAUUAAAUCCCAAGGUCAGUAAUUUUUGGAUUCUGGCCAUGAUAUACCAGAAGUCCGAGUCUGUGGUAUGCAAGGAAACUGGUCCAUUUGGUGUGAUGUCCAAGUUCCAUGCUAUGGGUGAGGCAUUGGC